CAGCAGCCGCGGUAAGACAGAGGAUGCAAGCGUUAUCCGGAAUGAUUGGGCGUAAAGCGUCUGUAGGUGGCUUUUCAAGUCCGCUGUCAAAUCCCAGGGCUCAACCCUGGACAGGCGGUGGGAACUACCAAGCUGGAGUACGUUAGGGGCAGAGGGAAUUUCCGGUGGAGCGGUGAAAUGCGUUGAAAUCGGAAAGAACACCAACGGCGAAAGCACUCUGCUGGGCCGACACUGACACUGAGAGACGAAAGCUAGGGGGGCAAAUGGGAUUAGAUACCCCCGUAGUCCCUGUCUCUUAUAC
rnacentral:rRNA from 1 species